rnacentral:sRNA from 1 species
AUAUAUAAUAAAUGAAUAAAUAAGAUUGUAUACAUACACGCACCGUGUGCAAGCUUGACCCUCUGGAACUCCAGAUACAAACACUACCUCAUGGUGUGGGGAUUUCGAAUCAGACAAGGUCCUCCGCAAGAGCAGCAGGCACUUCUAGUGGCUGACUCACUGCUCCAGUCUCAGAACUGAGUAGAUUUAAGGACUACUCUGAAACAGACAUGGAGGGAGACAGAGUAGUUUCAGAAUGAGGUAGUUGCAGACUGACCUCCUCCAAUGGAGUCUCACCUCCAGUGUCCGUGUCUGUGCCUUUCUAUACACUAAACAGGACUGACCUAUGUGACCCAUGCGAUACUUCAGAACUGACGUGGCUCCCUGGAGGCAGAGAAUGUGACUUCUGUCCCACCCUCCAUUGCUGUACUAUGAGAUAUACACAUCAAACAUGUCUUCCCCAACUCCAUCAGUUCUUUGUGCCACAUGCCGGGAGCCAAGCCCACGUACACACCCUCUGUCUCAAGAAUGUUUCAGGAAUGUCAAGCCCUCUUACGCCCUCUGAGACACCUACCCAGUUAUCUGUUCUUAUCAAUAUACCUGCAAUGUAUGGUUUUAGGGCUUUAGGGAGGGUGGUGACGGUAGUGAAAUUGACCCUGGGCCCUGCGUGGCCUUCCCGCCUGCUUGUCUUUAUAAACCACUGUAUCAAAAUAAAAUUUGAGAGCUUGAUCAGACCA